rnacentral:rRNA from 1 species
AAAGGUUGAUCCUGCCAGUAGUCAUAUGCUUGUCUCAAAGAUUAAGCCAUGCAUGUCUAAGUACAAGCCUCACUAAGGUGAAACCGCGAAUGGCUCAUUAAAUCACACCUAAUCUACUGGAUAGUAAACAGUUACUUGGAUAACUGCGGUAAUUCUGGAGCUAAUACAUGCAUAAAGCCCCAACUCACGAAGGGGCGCUUUUAUUAGAUCAAAACCAAACGGCUUCGGCUGUACUCUUGGUGAUUCUGAAUAACUUUGGGCUGAUCGCAUAGCCUUGCGCUGGCGACAUAUCCUUCGAAGGUGUGCCCUAUCAACUGUCGACUGUGGCAUAGACGCCCACAGUGGUUUUGACGGGUAACGGGGAAUCAGGGUUCGAUUCCGGAGAGGGAGCCUUAAAAACGGCUACCACAUCUAAGGAAGGCAGCAGGCACGCAAAUUACCCAAUGACCGAAGGUCGAGGUAGUGACGAAAAAUAACGAUAGCGGUCUCAUCCGAGGUACGCUAAUUGGAAUGAGUACACUUUAAAACCGUCCCCGAGGAUCUAUUGGAGGGCAAGUCUGGUGCCAGCAGCCGCGGUAAUUCCAGCUCCAAUAGCGUAUAUUAAAGUUGUUGUGGUUAAAAAGCUCGUAGUUGGAUCUCAACGAUCUUGAAGCGGUCGACUAAGUGUUGUACUGCUUUGUAGGUCGUGCUUUUGCUGGAGGUUUAGAGGUGCUCUUGAUCGAGUGUCUCUAGAUGCCAGCAGGUUUACUUUGAAAAAAUUAGAGUGCUCAAAGCAGGCUAUUCCGCCUGAAUAUUCGUGCAUGGAAUAAUAGAAUAGGAUGUCGAUCCUAUUUUGUUGGUUUUCGGGACUCGACAUAAUGAUUAAUAGGGACAGUCGGGGGCAUUUGUAUUCAAACGACAGAGGUGAAAUUCUUGGACCGUUUGAAGACAAACUACUGCGAAAGCAUUUGCCAAGAAUGUUUUCAUUAAUCAAGAACGAAAGUUAGAGGUUCGAAGGCGAUUAGAUACCGCCCUAGUUCUAACCAUAAACGAUGCCAGCUAGCGAUCUGUCGGUGUUUUUACUGUAGACUCGACAGGAAGCUUCCGGGAAACCAAAGCAUUUGGGUUCCAGGGGAAGUAUGGUUGCAAAGCUGAAACUUAAAGGAAUUGACGGAAGGGCACCACCAGGAGUGGUUUUCGGAAACAUUUUUUCAGAAUA